GUGGGGAAUAUUGGACAAUGGGCGAAAGCCUGAUCCAGCCAUGCCGCGUGUGUGAAGAAGGUCUUCGGAUUGUAAAGCACUUUAAGUUGGGAGGAAGGGCAGUAAGUUAAUACCUUGCUGUUUUGACGUUACCGACAGAAUAAGCACCGGCUAACUUCGUGCCAGCAGCCGCGGUAAUACGAAGGGUGCAAGCGUUAAUCGGAAUUACUGGGCGUAAAGCGCGCGUAGGUGGUUCAGUAAGUUGGAAGUGAAAUCCCCGGGCUCAACCUGGGAACUGCUUUCAAAACUGCUGAGCUAGAGUACGGUAGAGGGUGGUGGAAUUUCCUGUGUAGCGGUGAAAUGCGUAGAUAUAGGAAGGAACACCAGUGGCGAAGGCGACUACCUGGACUGAUACUGACACUGAGGUGCGAAAGCGUGGGGAGCAAACAGGAUUAGAAACCCGAGUAGUCC
rnacentral:rRNA from 1 species